UCAAGAAACUUCCACAAUGGGCGAAAGCCUGAUGGAGCGACGUCGCGUGAUGGACGAAGUGCUUCGGCACGUAAACAUCUUUUAUGUGGGAUGAAAUUAUUGACAGUACCACAUGAAUAAGGGGCUCCUAACUCUGUGCCAGCAGGAGCGGUAAUACAGAGGCCCCAAGCGUUAUCCGGAAUCACUGGGCGUAAAGGGUGUCGAGGCGGUUGUAUUAGUCGUUCGUAAAAUCUACGAGCUUAACUUGUAGGCGGCGAACGAAACGGUACGACUUGAGGUUUGGAGAGGUGCGUGGAACUCACGGUGUAGGGGUGAAAUCCGUUGAUAUCGUGGGGAACACCAAAGGCGAAGGCAGCGCACUGGCCAAAAUCUGACGCUCACACACGAAAGCUAGGGUAGCGAAGAGGAUUAGAUACCCUUGUAGUCCCUGAG
rnacentral:rRNA from 1 species